CCCUUAGAUGUUCGGGGCCGCACGCGCGCUACACUGAAGGAAUCAGCACGUCUUUCUCCUUGUCCGAAAGGACUGGGUAACCCGCUGAACCUCCUUCGUGCUAGGGAUUGGGGCUUGUAAUUCUUCCCCAUGAACGAGGAAUUCCCAGUAAGCGCGAGUCAUAAGCUCGCGUUGAUUACGUCCCUGCCCUUUGUACACACCGCCCGUCGCUACUACCGAUUGGAUGGUUUAGUGAGAUCCUCGGGUUGGUCCCGGAGCGGCCUCUGGUCGUGCCGGAGUGCCGAAAAGAAUGUCGAACUUGAUCAUCUAGAGGAAGUAAAAGUCGUAACA
rnacentral:rRNA from 1 species